UAAGUGCUUCCAUGUUUGAGUGG
rnacentral:ncRNA from 2 species